rnacentral:lncRNA from 1 species
CAAAGUUCCCAAAGUUCACCCUCGGCCUCCUGCCCUCCCAUUAUCACAACAGGAAAGAGCCUUGACAAGGUGCCAGAAAUUAUUUCUCACCCAUAGGCUCACUUUCCCAGGUAUUUACAUCUUUUAAGACUUUCAUUCUUGCUUGUGGAAAGGGAGAUUUUGUUUAAGGUGGCUAGAUGCUAGUCAUUAGCUGGGGGCAUGGCUUUGGUGUUAAGGAGUCUCAGAAAGGAAGCUCUGGAAGUUGUUAGACCUGGAGAGAUACUGGAUUUUGUAUAUUUGGAGAGUUAGCUCUUCCUCGCAGUUUCCCUUCUGUUACGGGCUGCAUUACGUUCCUGUACCCAUUCACAUGUUGCAGUCCUAACCUCCGGUACCUUAUAGAAGGUGAGCAUAUUUGGAGAUGAGGUCUUCAAAGAGAUGAUUAGGUUAAAAUGAGGGCUUUGAGGUGGGCCCUAAUCGUAUAUGACUGGUAUCCAUACAAGAUGAGGAAAUUUCGACCUAGAGAGAGACAUACACACCAGACAUGUGUGUGCAUAGCAGAAGACCAUGUGAGGACACAGUGAGAAGACAGCCAUCUGCAAGCCAAGGACAGACGCCUCAGAGAAAACCAAACCUGCUGACAUCUUGAUCUCAGACAUUUCGCCUCCAGAAUUGUGAGAAAAUAAGUUUCUGUUGUUUAAGCCACCUCAUCUGUGGUGUUUUGUUGUGGAAGCCCUGGAAACUAACACACCUUCCCUUCUGCUGCCAGAGUCUCAGAAACCAAGAUAUCAGUUCCUUUAGGUCCUUGCUGCACCUGAGACAGCAGAGGAAGAAGCUAACAGAAGGCAAUAUCUUUUUUUUUUUUUUUUUUGAGGCAGGGUCUUGCUCUGUUGCCCAGGCUGGAGGGCAGUGGUGCAAUCUCCACUCACUGCAACCUCCACCUCCAGGGUUCAAGCAAUUCUCCCACCUCAGCGUUCCAAGUAGCUGGGACUAUACAGGCACACACCACCACACCCGGCUAAUUUUUGUAUUUUUUGAUAGAGAUGGGGUUCUACCAUGUUGGCCAGGCUGGCCUGGAGCUCCUGAACUCAAGGGAUCCGCCCCCGUCGGCCUCCCAAAGUGCUGGGAUUACAGGCAUGAGCCACCACACCUGGCCAAGAAAGCAGUAUCUGAAAGGUCUCCUGGAGGUAGCAGGGAAUGCAGUAACACAGCACUCUCCGGAUUGGUUAGCUUCUGAAGAGAAUAUCCUGGGCCUUGAUGUUUUCAAGCAUCAAUAUCCCUAAGCUGGUGUGUGUGAGAGAAGGACACGGAUUAUCCUGGAAUGAUACAUAGUGUAGAAGAACAGAGAACUCUGAUGCUGAUUACAGAAUAAAAAAGUGAGACGAGAGAAAAACCCCAAACUUGGGUUGACUGUGUAUAAGAAAUACUAAUUACAGUCAUUUCUGUGAACUGCUUACCAUUGAUAGCUAAUUAUCAUGCAGCAUAAUAACAAUUAUGUAUAUCAUUAAAUAUGUAUCAGAUUCGUUUUAUUUGAUUACAAUAAUAAACUCCAGAAACAUACAAUGUCAGGCCUAGAAGACGACCUUGGGGAUCAAUGUCUAGGUCUUUCCCUUCAUGUUUGCAGACGCUGAGGCUAGUCUGUGGCAGAUGUUUUUGGCAAUGCUGGGAUGAGAACAUGUUUGUGGCAUUCCAAGUACACUCCCCAUGGGAAACCAGCAUGAGGUUAGAGCCAGAAAUCAACAAGAAUUGCAUCCUUCCUGACUUGUAUUGAAGUGGUACCUAGCCCUGUCGCAGUUCCUGGCAGUGAUUGAACUUAUCCCGUGUAUUUGUUUGUCCUGUUUUCAGGCUGUAGUAUUAGAGUAGUUGCUCAAUAACUAGUUCUCAGAUGGAA